rnacentral:rRNA from 1 species
ACUGUAGGCAUGUAGCGUUUACCAGCGGCGAGUGAAGCGGCAAUAGCUCAAAUUUGAAAUCUGGCGUCUUCGGCGUCCGAGUUGUAAUUUGAAGAAGGUAUCUUUGAGGCUGGCUCUUGUCUAUGUUCCUUGGAACAGGACGUCACAGAGGGUGAGAAUCCCGUGCGAUGAGAUGCCCAGUUUCGUGUAAAGUUCCUUCGACGAGUCGAGUUGUUUGGGAAUGCAGCUCUAAGUGGGUGGUAAAUUCCAUCUAAAGCUAAAUAUUGGCGAGAGACCGAUAGCGAACAAGUACUGUGAAGGAAAGAUGAAAAGAACUUUGAAAAGAGAGUGAAAAAGUACGUGAAAUUGUUGAAAGGGAAGGGCUUGAGGUCAGACUUGGUUUACCAGGCCAGCAUCAGUUUGGGUGGCAGGAUAAUAGCUAAGGAAAGUGGCACGAUUUCGGUUGUGUGUUAUAGCCUUGGUUGAUACUGCCUGCCUAGACUGAGGACUGCGUCUUUGACUAGGAUGCUGGCAUAAUGACCUUAAGCCGCCCGUCUUGAAACCGGACCAAGCGUAUGAUCUU